ACUUCCGUGGUGGAAUGGGUAUACCACACUAGGCUUACAUACUGGAGGUCCCGGGUUCGAUCCUGGCAAAAUUG
rnacentral:tRNA from 1 species